rnacentral:lncRNA from 1 species
AUCAGGCCUUUAUGGCAAUUUAUUGAUCACAAGAAUUUUUAUUUUAGAAACAAAAAAUAACGUUGAAACGUUUUGGAAUAUUUCACAUGGGUUGGUCCUUUUGUUUCCAAAUCUUUUUACACCUUUUUAUUUUGCCUUGUCGUUGCAUAAAAAUUACAGUGGUCAAAUGAUGUGACAUUUUUUGCACCACCUCCGGAGGGAUCCUGAGUAUCCAAGUUUCGUGGAUGAAAUAUUUCAUGUGGGUUUUUUAUUUUUAACAGAAACCUUUUUACAGCUUUUUUAUUUUGCCUUGUCGUAGUCAAAAAAUAAAACAAAACAUUUUGCAUCAUUUGACCACUGGGUGUGCUGUAAUAAACAAAUAAAAUUGCCUAUGACAAGGUGAAAUAAAAAGGUUUUCUAAAAAGGUUCCUGUUUGGAAAAAUAGAACCAACCCAGAUUAAAUAUUCUGAAAUGUUCUAAAUGCAAUGAAAAUUAUUUUCUUUUGUUUGUGAUCAAUAAAUUGCCACGAAGACCUGAUAUAUAUAAAAAAAACAACUAUGGCUAACAUUGGGUAUGCCAGUCUUUACAGUGUUAAAUUACACGUUUAUCUUUUUAUAUAUUUAUCAAUACUUGAUUCUUGUUAAUUAUCUUACUUUAUGCGAUGGUGAUAUUACGCACCACUAUGUGGAGCGUCUAGUUAACCUUUGCAAACACACACAGCAUCGCCACUCAGACACACCAUUCUGCAAUCAUUUAGAGAUAUGGACAUGUCAUGUGACCACAGGGCUCCAAAACAAGGCUGUGGUAGGAUGACCACCAGAUAUGCACGCCCUGUUAUGACUGAUACAUAAAUACAUCAAGACAGGGUGUGUAUGUUUGAGAGAUGGUUAAACCAGCAUCUCAGCACUCAAGAGUUCACAUACACAGACGAGCAAGUCAACUUUGUGGUUGCAGGCAAGGUGUCACCAUAGUACAGAGAUCUCCAAAGCUAGGGUGCAGAGGGACGGGAGGACAUGGAGCGCCUUCCUUUCUGUCUUCUACUGUCUCCGUUCACUUGUCAGCUCUGGGCUCAGGCUCCUGCAGGUGUGAGCUUUGGACUAGAGUGUCUAAAUGACUUCUUCUUCACAAUAACAUGUUCCUUAAAUGGAACCAACAUUGAACAUAGCAUCAAUACCACUGAUACGAGCAGUAAUAUGAAGGCAUGGCUGCAAGCUCAAGACUGGGAGGGUGAAAAUUCUUCUUGUGAGCUGACGAGAGGAGUAGACUCCUGGGGGUGUGCACUGUAUACAUUUGUGCCUGGUGGCUUCUCAUUUACCGAUGAAGACCGAUACCAGAUCUCACUCUUCACCAGUCUCCAUGGCAACAACAGCUCCGUGGUGCUGCAGCCAAAGUACUGGCCAAGGAAUCACAUUAAACCCAUCCCUCCCGAGAACCUCUCCAUGCAGUGGGUAGGGGAAGAUGCCGUGUUCGGCUGGCAGAGUGGGUAUCAACCACGGAGCAGCGUGUACGAGGAGCAUGUCCGUCUCAUCCCUAACCUGAAGUAUCAGCUCCUCCUGGUGACAACACAGGGCCACAGGGUAAAGCACAUAAACACAUCUCUCUGUACUGGAACGAAAAAGAGCCAAGUUGGACCCUAUUUAGAUAUAUAA